AGAGUUUGAUCAUGGCUCAGAUUGAACGCUGGCGGCGUGCCUAACACAUGCAAGUCGAGCGGUAACAGGUGUAGCAAUACAUGCUGACGAGCGGCGAACGGGUGAGUAAUGCUUCGGAAUCUACCCUCUAGUGGGGAAUACCAGCCGAAAGGUUGGCUAAUACCGCAUACGUCCUACGGGAGGAAGCAGGGGAUCGCAAGACCUUGCGCUGAUGGAUGAGCCGAAGUCGGAUUAGCUAGUUGGUAGGGUAACGGCCUACCAAGGCGACGAUCCGUAGCUGGUCUGAGAGGACGACCAGCCACACUGGGACUGAGACACGGCCCAGACUCCUACGGGAGGCAGCAGUGGGGAAUAUUGGACAAUGGGGGAAACCCUGAUCCAGCGACGCCGCGUGUGUGAAGAAGGCCUGCGGGUUGUAAAGCACUUUUAGUGGGGAUGAAAUGUUCAGGGCUAAUACCUCUGAAUUUUGACCUAACCCACAGAAAAAGCACCGGCUAACUCUGUGCCAGCAGCCGCGGUAAUACAGAGGGUGCAAGCGUUAAUCGGAAUUACUGGGCGUAAAGCGUGCGUAGACGGUUACAUAAGUCAGGUGUGAAAGCCCCGGGCUCAACCUGGGAAUUGCAUUUGAGACUGUGUAGCUAGGGUGCGGAAGAGGGAAGCGGAAUUUCCGGUGUAGCGGUGAAAUGCGUAGAUAUCGGAAGGAACACCAGUGGCGAAAGCGGCUUCCUGGUCCAGCACCGACGUUCAGGCACGAAAGCGUGGGGAGCAAACAGGAUUAGAUACCCUAGUAGUCC
rnacentral:rRNA from 1 species